rnacentral:rRNA from 1 species
GACGAACGCUGGCGGCGUGCCUGACACAUGCAAGUCGGACGGUCCGUGAUUGAUCAAGCUUGCUUGAUUGGUUGUGGAUAGUGGCGGACGGGUGAGUAACGCGUGAACACCUACCCAUUGGAGGGGUACAACCCGUCGAAAGGCGGGCUAAUACCGCGUAAGCCGUGAGGUGAAAGGCUGCUUUUUGGUGGCUGCCGAUGGAUGGGUUCGCGUCCUAUCAGCUGGUUGGUGGGGUAACGGCCUACCAAGGCUAAGACGGGUAGCCGGUCUGAGAGGAUGGUCAGCCACACUGGGACUGAGACACGGCCCAGACUCCUACGGGAGGCAGCAGUGAGGAAUUUUGGGCAAGUGGGCGAAAGCCUGACCCAGCGACGCCGCGUGGAGGAUGAAGGCCUUCGGGUCGUAAACUCCUGUUCGUGGGGAAGAAACGGGAGUGCGUGAAUAAUUCAUCCCGCUGACGGUACCCAGGAGAAGCGUCCGCUAAUUACGUGCCAGCGACGCCGGACGGUAAAACUCUACG